UCAAUUGUAGAUAAACGUAAUAGUAAUGCGUAUACAUCGGAUUUUCAAUUUUGUUGGUGGUAAUUUUGUUUCACAACGUGCUUCUCCAAUUGAGCAUGAAACACUGAAAAUUUCUGUUUGGAUAUAACUUAUAAUAUGCUUAAUAAACCUAGUUAAAGUUAAGCAUUAAUUUGAAUCACACAUUCGUAAUUCCUAUUCAUUACUUUCAAAAAUUUAGUGGGUCCCAGUACUAUUCCUCUUUAUAAAUUGAUUUAUAACUUUGUCAAAUGGAGGCUAUAUGUUUUUUUAUUUUGUUUUAGUAAAAGUUGCCAUCGUAAUUGAGAUUUGGGCUUAAUUCUCUAGAGAUGUAUACCUAAUUCUGGCUAUUUUGUUACUGUAGAUGUUGCUUUGUUGCUAUUGGAAAAGUAUCCACAGCUGGGUGUUAUCCCAGAUGUUAAUGACAAUUACGCUCUCAAAUUAUUGGCUCAAAGGCCUUCAGCAUUUCCUAGUGGGACUGAACUUUCAUUUUGGAAAAAAUUGAUCUAUUACUGUAAGUAUGUAAUUGGUCACUUGUUAAUUUCAUUCACAAACAAUGUACCAUAAGGGUACAUUUAGAUAAAGUUUAGGGGCUGUUUGAUAGCCCUUUUUUUUUUUUUAGGGAAAAUAGAAAACUACUUCUAACUUCCACUUUUGACUUGUUUGAUUGACAAAAUUUUUCAAGGAAUUCAUUUUCCACCUUUGGCCACCACGUUAGCAUUUUCCAUCUUUUUCUUGAAUUCGAAUUCUCACCACAUUGGUGAGAAUUCGUUUUCUGGGUUACUGUAGCAAUUUUUUAAUUUUCAUUUAUUUAUUUAUUUAUUAUUAUUAUUAUUAUUAUUAUUAUUAUUAUUAUUAUUAUUAUUAUUAUUAUUUUCGUUUACAAUGGAAACAAAUUUUAAGAAUUAUUGUAAAAAAAUUUAUCCCUUUAUUUGACAAUUUUCAUGUAAAACAAAGACAAACGAACACCAAAAAAAUAGAUGAUUUUCCCAUUAUUUAUUUAUUUUUUGGCAAUGGAAACAAAUUUUAUCCCCAAUACCAGUAAAUUCUAUCCAUUUAAUUGACAAUUUUCAUGUAAAACAAAGUAAGACAAACAUCAAAAAACACUUUUAUUUUAACAUUUUUCAUGUGGAAAAUUAUAUCAAUCUGACACAAUAAUUUACAAUUCACAGGAAAACAAUUUCUAGACAAUUUAAUUCCCUGAAAUUUAUUUUCUUUCCACCCAAAUUCCAUCUUUGCAAUCGAACAGAUCCUUAGUUUCUUAUUCGUACUGUCUACUACAAUAUACAAAUGUGCCAUAAACUCACUUGUUGAAUAUGAUCGUUUUGAAAAGUAUUCCUUGUCUGAACUUUUUACACAAGGUGUAAGAGUACAUGAAGAGCAUGUAGAAAUGCAAACAUCAAGUACUAGUCAUGAUUACAACAUUCAAAUUCCUGAAUCAAACGACGAAGAUUUGGCAGGAAUGAUGGCACAUGGUGGCCUAACUUUAACUACUCGAGGUACAUCAGAUUAUGUCACACUCCCCCUUUUUUCAGGUUUUCUUCACACAUCCUAAAUUUAGUUUAGAGGUAUAAAUUAGGCGAGUAUGACUCCUGAACCUUCACUAGCUUGGAUCAGCCAGUGCAUCCCAUGCCUAAGCCUUUUUAAAUUUAUUUUGAACAUGUGGACCUAUGUGUUAACGGUAGAUUUGGGCUGACUGCACCAUGUCCUAGUCCGACUGUGCUUUCAUAUGUUAAGUGGCCCUAGGCUUUGAUAACACACUACAUUUUGACACCUCUAAAUAAAUUCUUGUUGUGCAGCUCUAGAGUUGGUGCGCAAAUUGGGUUGGGUGAUAUUGUGGUCCAUUGGUAUGUAUUAUCUUCCUAUAUAUAUAGUUUCUACUACACAUGUGUAUGUGUACUGAAAAUCAAUUACACAUGAAACGUUAUUUAAUAUUAUUUUUAUUAAUUUUCAGUUCCAGGGAUCCGUUACAUAUACCGAAGGAAGUCAAUCCAUGUCCAAGUUAGGAAAUUCCUCAGGAUCGUGCUUAAAAAAAUGUUACAAUUGAGCAAACCGGAGCUCGAAAAAAUGGACUUGGAUAAAAUAAUAAAUGAUGCCAUAAAGAAUGGAAUUUUUGAAUUGAUAGAUGAAAUGAUUAAAUGUGCACCAGAAAUUAUAUGGAGAAAAGAUAAAAAAGGGAGAACAAUUUUUUCGAAUGCAAUUAUAUCGCGUCAAGAGAAGAUUUUUGGCCUCAUAUUUACUUUAGAAAAAGAGAAGUGUUUAAUGGGAAUGAGGUAUGAUAUUUUUGGCAACAAUUAUUUACAUCUUGCUGCAAAAUUGUCUCCUCCUUCUCGACUUGAUAUUGUAACUGGAGCAGCACUACAAAUGCAAAGGGAACUGCAAUGGUUUGAGGUAACGUAUUUUGCUCGGUUACGUGAGUGAGUGUGUGUGUGUGAAUGCAUGUGUAUGUAUGCUGUCAUGAUUGUUAUUCGAGCCAUUUCUUCUGCAAACUUAAGCUGAUGAAAGAUAUCAUAAAUUUAUUUAUUUGAAUUUUAUAUUAAAUGUGUUCCCUCUCUAUAACACCUGCACAGUUCUCAUAAAUAGGUGACAAUUAUCAAAGACAUAAUUCACAUAAAUAAAUUUGUCUUUUUUCUGAAAGUUUAAACUUUAGACGAGAUGAUUCAAUAUGAUAUUAUUGUGAAAAUAAUUAAAGACAUAAUUCAAGUCUUGUGACCAUCUAUUUAUGAAAAAUUGUGCACUUGAUUUCGUCCCUAAAAUUCAUAAUAUUUUGUUUACUCUAAUGCUGCACAUUCAUCUAACUUAUCUGAAAUUGAAUCUUCAUUCUAUGUUAUUUCUUCCAAUAUGCAGGAAGUUGGGAGCAUGGUACAACCCAAACUCAAAGAGGAACUAAACAACCACAACAAAACACCGAAAAUUUUAUUCACUGAAGAGCACGAGAAGUUAGCCAAAAAAGCCGAGGACUGGAUGAAAAAUACAGCAGGGUCAAGCAUGAUAGUGGCAACUCUAAUUGCUGCUGUAAUGUUCACAACAGCUUUCACAGUACCAGGUGGUAAUAAAAAUGAGACAGGAAUGCCAACAAUGCUGGAAACUCAAAGGAUUCCAUUCUUGAUUUUCAUGAUUUCGAAUGCUCUGUCGAUGUUCAGUUCAAGUACAUCACUGUUGAUUUUCUUGGGAAUUCUUACAGCGUGUUAUGCAGAAGAUGAUUUUCUCAAGUCCUUACCGACAAAAUUAAUAUCAGGACCGACGAGUUUGUUCCUUUCGAUUGUUACCAUGAUGGCAUCCUUUGGUUCUGCAUUGUAUUUGAUUCUUCAUGAGAAUUUGUCUUGGGUCACCGUUCCUAUCAUCGUCCUUACAACGAUUCCAAUAGUUCUUUUCUCCAUCUUGCAGUUUCCUCUCUUGAUUGAGAUGACCCAACGUACUUAUGGAGCCGGGAUAUUUGAUGAAUAUACGAAGAAAUCCCGUUUUGCUAAGUUCAGAGCAUGUUUGAUAAGGAGGAAUCCAUUGAGGAAGAAAAGACAUUAAAAAUUUUAUAGGUCUUACUAUAGAGUACUAUUGAAUAAGGUGUCCCAAAUGUGCUGUUAGCUCAUUUUGGUUUCUGUCAUUUUGAGUAAUGAUGUAUCCAUAGUGUUUUUUCUUCUGAAUAAUUUGUCAUUUUGGUUUCUGUCAUUAUUGGAUCUAAUUAAGUGUCUCGUAGAAUUCCGUUGUUUGAAGAGUCAUCUUGAAUUCUUAGUAUGUACAAAUAGAAGCACAUGUAGCAAUAUUUUGUAAUGCAAAUACGAAGUGAACUUUAGAUUAUAUAUCUCCAAAUUAUCUUGCCUUCAAACUGGUAUUAAAGCCUUGAAAAAGAAAAAAAAUAACGUCCAUCAAUCUUGUUUCUCUUGUGCCUCAUUUUAAUGGAGAAAAAAUUGAUUAAUAUUUCAUUCAUCAACCAUCCAUAAAUUUAUUUAUCCAUAAAUAAAUCCAAUCAUUCAAAUAAAUGCAUAAAACAACCCUAGGAAUCGCUCAACUAUAAAAUCAUGCAAUAAAUCAAGAAUUAGAAUUACAACACACGAUUCUAGACCUAUACUCUAUUACCACUUUUUGAAAACUGGUCCGUUAGGAUUAGAAAAAAAAUAAUUCAAAAUAAGUUUAAUAGACCAGAUCUUUACUAGAUUACUAUGUGUUGCAUUUCUAAUUAAUUGCCACAUUAGUGUUUGGAUGAUACACCUAUUCUGAGCAAUUAAUUUCUUUAUCUUCUGUAUUGAGGUUGAUUGAUUUGCAAGCUUUAAAAUUAGAUCCCAUCGAAUACUUACUCCUUCCUUGAUCUACAAACUUCUAACACUGAGAUCUUAUCUCUGCUCUUCUCCACAACCUGGUUGCACCUGAUUUAUGGGACCAAUUAUCGAAUUCCUAAUCCUCAAGAACUCACAAGAAAAUAUUAUGAUAUCAAGAACUCUCUCAAGUAAUGGAAUUCGUAUUGAAUAUGUACGUUCUUUCACGGUCCAUUAGAUUUAUUUAUGUAGAACUAAAUAGCCUUGUUCAUUUAUCCAACACGAUUAGGAUUCAAAUUAUAAAGGAACCACGUUAUAUAAACAAUAAAAUUCCUUUUAGGACUUGUACAAUCCCGAAUUUUGACUCAUCAAGAUCGUGUUCUCUUUUGAUCAAUGCCUGACUUUAGUAAAGUUUGACCUAUUCAACUAUGCAAUCUGUCAAUUCAAUUUUUACUAUAAUUAAAUCAAAAUUUUUAUCUGAAGCUAUCAAAGGCACCUAAUUGGACCUAUAUAAUUCAAGCUUCAGAUUGUUUGGGCCCAUUAACUCGGAAGAAAGAUCAGAAAAUAGAGAAAAAUUGCGAAAUUCCAAGUUCUUGCAGUUCCCUCUCUUGAUUGAGAUGACAUAUCGGACUUAUGGAUUCGGGAUAUUCAAUAAACCUAAGAAGAAAUCCUAUUUUGCUAAGUUCCGAGCAUGUUUGGCUUGGUGGAAUAAAUAGUGUUUGCCACUAUCGAGGAAGAAAAUAAAUUAAAGUCUUAUCGAUCAUACUAUAUAGUACUAUUGAAUAUGGUGUCCCAAAUGUGCUCUUAGUUUAUUUUGGUUUCCGUUGUCGUAAUUGUUGAUGUAUCCAUGGUGUUAUUUCAUAUGAAUUCCACUAGCUGAAAUAUUUUCCUUUUAUCCACAUGCCAAUGAUGAACUCUAUUUCACCAUUGUUGUGGCAUUAAAUUAGACUAUUUGUGCCUAUUCUGUUUGAAUAAACUAGUUUGAACCUCACAUAUUCAAUAAUGAUUCAUGUAUUGGAUCUAGUCAGUGUCUCAUAGAAUUCUAUAGUUUGAGGAGUCAUCUUGAAUUCUUAGUAUGUAUAAAUAGACCCCUAUGUUGCAGUGUUUUUUAAGGCAAAAUAAGAAGUGAAUUUUAGAUUAUAUAUCUCCAAAUUAUAUUGCCUUCAAACUGGUAUUAGAGCCUUCAAAUAAUAAUAAUAAUAAUAAUAAUAAUAAUAAUAAUAAUAAUAAUAAUAAUAAUAAUAAUCUUGUAUUCCUUGUGCUUCAUUUUAAUGGAAAAUUUUGAUUAUUAUUUCAUUCAUCAACCAUACAUACAUUCAUCCAUCCAUGAAUAAAUCCAAUCAUUCAAAUACACACAUAGAACAACUCUAGGAAUCGCUCAACUAUAAAAUCAUGCAAUAAAUCAAUAAAUAGAAUUACAAUACAAGACAAUUUUAGACCUACACUUUAAUACCACUUUUUGAACUGGUCACUAGGUUUAGGAAAAACAAAGAAAAAAAUGAAAAUAAGUCUAAUGGACCAAAUCUUCACUAGAAUACUGUUGUUGCAUUUCUAAUUAAUUGCCACAGAAGUGUUUCGAAGUUAAACCUAUUCAAAGCAAUCAAUUUCUUUAUCUUCUUGCAUGAGUAUUGAUUUGCAAGCUUCCUUCUUAAUCCCAAAAGCUAGCUUAAGAGGUGAUGCUUUUUUUUACACUUAUAAACUAACCACCAGCUCUUUUCAAUUAAAAACAACAAAGAAUUUGUAAAACCAGCAAUGAUAUAUGAGAUGAAAUGGAAGGACCAACUUAAUUCUUUUGUGUAUUACAAUGGCUUUAUAUAGUAGAGCUUAGUAUACAAAAAUAUGGAAUACACUAAAGUUAUGGAAUUUACAAUUGUUAUGAUUGACAGAAUUGUGGAGAGGUCAAUGGGAUGCUGAGAUCACGUUGGAGGUGAUUGUGGAAUCCAUACUGAUAUGGAAUGAGUAGUCUUGCAUGGAGGAGAUCAAGGAGUAUUGUGAUUGCUGCGAUUGCUUGGUUUAACACCCCCCCUCCCCGUAAAGUGAUGGGGAUGAUCAUCACCAUCAGUUUGGACCGAAGUACACCAAAACGAGCGGUUGUUUUCCCCCUUUGUGAAGAUAUCAACAAUCUGAUCUUGGGUGGAAAUAUGUUACACCUGAAUGUCUUUAUUGAGGACCUUUUCUCGAAUGAAGUGGUAGUCAAUUUCCACAUGUUUCGUGCGGGCAUGGAAAAUGGGAUUAGAGGCCAAGGCGAUAGUGCCAAUGUUAUCACACCAUAGUGUAGGAGUGUAUGGUGGGAAGACACCAAGUUCCUUAAGGAGCAUUCUUAUCCAAUAGAGUUCGGCUGUGGCGAUGGCCAUGCUUCUAUAUUCGGCUUCAUUGUUACUCUUGGAGACAAUUGGUUGUUUCUUGGCAGACCAUGAUAUCAAAUUUUGACCCUAGAAAACUGCAUAUCCAGUAGUGCUGCGAUGAUCAUCAGGAUUACCGGCCCAAUCUGAGUCACAAAAAGCUUGAAGAAUAAUAGAUCCUUGAGUGAAUAGUAGAUCGGUAUCAAUACUACACUUUAGAUACCGAAGCACUCUUUUGACAACAGGCUAAUGAUGUUCAUGUGGGGAAUGCAUAAAUUGACAAAUUGAUUUACGACAUAUGCAAUAUCCGGUCUAGAGAAAGUACAAUAUUGAAGUGCCCUGCCCACUCUUCUAUACUCUGUUGGAUCAGACAAUAAAGAACCUUCUAUAGAAGAUAACAUCGGACUAGAUGUAGUAGGGACCCAAGGGGCUUUGCAUCAGUCAUCUUGGUGCUGUGUAGUAAAUUUAUUUUGUACUGGGCUCGAUGAAGAUAUAGGCCUUGAGAAUCUCUUGAUGCUUGAACACCUAAAACGAAACUCAAAUCUCCAAGAUCUUUAACCAUGAAGUUAGUUGAUAGAGAUUGAAUAAAAGUGUUAAUGGCAUGUGAGCUUGAUCUAGUAACUAUAAUGUCAUCAACAUAUAUCAACACAAAUAGUUUCGCAAUCUCAGUAGUAUAGACAAAAAGUGAGUAGUCAGCGGCUGAUUCAACAAAGCCAUACUCAAGUAGGUGUUGGGACAGUCAUCUAAACCAAGCUCUCGAAGCUUGUUUAAGGCCAUAAAGUGACUUAUGAAGCUUGCAAACAUAAUCAGGACGAGUCUCAUCGAAAAACCUCGUGGUUGUUCCAUAAAUAUCUCUUCAUCAAGAUAGCCAUGCAGAAAAGCAUUUGAAAUGUCUAAUUGUUGAAUAGGCCAAUUAAAUGAAACAGCCAAAGCUAACACAAUGCAAAUAGAAGUAGGUUUUACCAUAGGAGAAAAAGUGUCUGUGUAUUCGACACCACACUGUUGAUCAAAGCCUUUUGUGACCAAACGGGCUUUAAAUCGUUCAAUGCUUUCAUUAGACAAUCUCUUGAUUUUAUAGACCCAUUUGUUGCAUACAACAUGUUUAACGUGUGGGCGAGGAUAAAGUGACCAAGUCCCAUUCACCAUUAGUGCAUCAAAUUCCCAUCCCAUUGCUUCACGCCAUGCUGGAGAGGCAACUGCUUGUGUGUAAUUGGAUGGUUCAGUGUCAGUGAUAAUAGAGGAGAGUACCUGCAAGGGAUACUUGGUCGUAUAAAACAUUGUAAAAUCAGGAAAGGCCUUAGGUUUUGAGUUUCCAGUCAUUGAGUGGGUUGUUGCCCGAUUGGGGUAUGGGACAGGGAUAGGGAAUUCAUGUGAGGUAAUUUGUUCUAUAGGCUGGGUUUCAAGUUUUUCUGAAUUUGGAGUUUCAAGGUCUUGGGUUUCAAAUUGUAGUGGAGAAAUGGGAUUCGGGAAAAGGGCUUGUGACUGAGUGAGGGUCUCAUGGGUACGUGAUGCUAUUGGGUCGAUGGCAAGAGUUGAUGGAAUAGGAAUAUUUGAAAUUGAAAGAGGUGAAGGAGAAAGUAUACCAGGCAAGCUCGAGCUUGACGGCGUAGGAGAAGUUUGGACUUGACCAUUUGCAGGAAAAUGUUUUUCAUCAAAAAUUACAUUUCGUGACACAUAAACAUGUCCUGUAGCUAGGUCAAGAUAGUGGCAACCUCUUUGUUGACUAGCAUAUCCUAUGAAAACACAUACUUUGCUUCUAAAGGACAAUUUAUGAGGCUCAUAUGGUCUUAAUAAAAGGAAACAUGCUGAUCCAAAUAUGCGAAGGUGAGAGUAUCGGGGAACGGUUUUAUGGAGCAUGUAAAAAGGUGUUAAAUUAUUUAAAACUUUUGUUGGAAGUCUAUUUAUUAAAUAUACUGAUGUCAAGAAUGCAUCUGGCCAAUAUGUAUGGGAAAGGUGCGACCGAGCUAAUUGGGUGAGACCCGUUUCAACAAUGUGGCGAUGUUUUCUUUCGGCUAUACCAUUUUGUUGAGAUGUGUGAGGACACGUUAAGCGAUGAAAAAAAAUUUUCUUGCAAAUUUUUUUUAAAUUGGGUAGAGAGAUAUUCACCCCCGUUAUCUGUUUGAAAUUGUUGAAUUUUAUAAGAAAAUAUAUUUUCCAAAAGUGCUUUGAAUUGUUUGAAAAUUCUGAAAACCUCAUUUUUAUAAAUUAAUGGGUAGAGCCAAGUGUAGCGAGAAUAGUCAUCAACAAAAAUACCAUAAUAUUUGGAACCACCAACUAAAUACACAGGAGAUGUCCAUACAUCAAAAUGAAUAAGAGAUAAAGGACGUGAAGACUGACAACUAGCCUCACUAAAGGGUAAUUGUUUAGCUUUCCCUAGGGGACAUGCUGAACAGAACCCUAAUUUAUUAGAUGAAAUAGAAUUUACUUAGACUGAGACAAUUGAUUUAAAAUAACUUGGGACGGGUGACCUAAACAAUCAUGCCAGACGUCUAAUAUAGUAGAGACACCAACUUUAGCAGGAAAGCAUGAAAUUUUUGAUAAACAAGAUUUAGUGUCUACAAUUGGGUAGAGUCCAUUCUUAACUUGCCCGUGAAGUAGGAGCCGCCCCGUCUUGUUCUUCUUCACACAAAAAUCAGAUCCAGUCAAUACAAAAUAGCUAUUAUUAUCAAGGCAAAAGCGAUUAAUAGAAAUUAAAUUGGAAGUGGCAUUCGGACAAUGAACUUGGUUAAGCGAAAAAUUGGAAUUGUUUGUUUUAAGAGACAUAGUACCUGUAUUUUAAUCACUAGACCUAAUCCAUUGCCAACAGUAAUGGUGUCCUUUCCAAAGUAGGGUUGCGAUGAAGCGAGAUUUGUCGUAGUAUUAGUGAUAUGGGCAUUGGCUCCACUGUCGCGUACCACAUCUAUUGGGCAAAUGCAGAAUUGCCUUUGGCAGCUAUAGCAGCUAGUUCGGAAGGUGGGUGUCGGCCUUGAUAAGAAAAAUCAAACCGGUGAUAGCAAUCUAGGGCCAUAGGCCCCUUUUUCCACAUAUUUGACAUAUGGGCUUGUUUUCAAGUGUAGGGGGCUGAUUAGGCUCAGCAUUCAGAGAGCCCACAUGAGUUGGGUGAGUGGUAUAUGAAGGUAAAUGGGCCUGAGUGGAGAAACCUGGGGACUUGGUUGGUUUCUUAACAAAGGACGAUCCCUUGCUUUGAUUAGCAACAAAGGCAAAGGUCUCUGUUGAAGGAAUGGGUUGAUGAGCCUCCAUGAGAGUUUCAAAGCUGAGAUGUUUCGCUUGGAAAUCCUCCAGGGUGAAGUCCUUUUCAUGGGUGGCGGAAUUGAAGGCGGUGAUGAAUGGAGCAAAGAGGGGUUUGAGACCAGUCAAGAGGUAUGUGAUGAGGUCCUACUCAUCGAUGGGUUUGCCGACAGCUGACAAUUGAUCUAACAACAACCUUGUUUCUUCAAUGUACACCAAACAGGUGUAGUUGCCUUGGAAAAUUGUUUGAAUUUGGCGCUUAAGGUGGACAAUUCGAGAGCGAGAGGUAGAGGAGAAACGGGUUUGGAGGGAGUCCCAAAUUUACUUUGAGGUCUUCAGAUUUAGGACGGUGGAUACUAAUUUCUCAGAGAGUGACGCAUAGAGCCAAUAGAGAAUGGCUGUGUCUGAUUUGGACCAAGUGUCAUAAGCCGGGUUAGCGACAUUGUUAGGGAGUAUCUUGGGAGGAGUGGCGAUGGAGCCGUCCACCAUGCCAAGUUUAUCAUGGCUUUUUAAGAAAGCCAAAAACUGAAUUCUCCAGGUAAGGUAGUUGGGUCCUUCGAGUUUGGGAAAUUGUGGUAUAUUAGUGUUUGAAGUGGCCAUUAGAAAUUAGGAAUUAUGGUGCGGAAGCUAUUUUGGUAGGAUCGAAAUAGGUGUGAGCCUUGAUGCUCUGAUACCAAGUUAAAAGCAACAAAGAAUUUGUAAAACUAGUAGUGAGAUAUGAGAUGAAACGGAAGGACCAACUUAAUUCUUCUGUGUAUUACAAUGGCUUUAUAUAGUAGAGCUUAGUAUAUAAAAAUAUGGAAUACACUAAAGCUAUAGAAUAUACAAUUGUUAUGAUUGAUAGAAUUGUGGAGAGAUCAAUGGGAUGCUGAGAUGACGUUGGAGGUGAUUGUGGAAUCCGUAUUGAUAUGGAAGGAGUAGUCUUGCAUGGAGAAGAUUGAGGAAUAUUGUGAUUGUUGUGAUUGCUUGGUUUAACACUUUCACAAUCGAUGUGGGAUAAUCUCAAUAAUCUCUCCCUCAUACAUUGAGCCUUGUGGUAGACUAAACCCCUAUCCACCUCACACAUCCGGCCUGUGAGAGACCAAACACGUCUAUCUCUCACACAAACCCGCAUCUCUUAUGACUAUUGGACAUGAGACUUGUAGAAAAGCUGAGCUUUGAUACCAGUGUUGGGUGGUAUUAGGCAUUCUCAACCCCAAAAAUUAAUUCAAGAAGUGAGGCUUAAUUUCCUAUACACUUAUAAAUUGACCACCAACCCCUUCCAAAAUCGAUAUGGGACAACCUCGACAAGUUAUUGUUCCUUCCUUGAUCCACAAGGUUCUAACCCUUGGAAUCUUCUGCAAAACCUCAUUGCACUUGAUUUCUGGUCAUUUUUCACGUCUAGUUAUAUAUAUAUAUAUAUAUAUAUAUAUAGACACACACACACAAACAUAACUAAAUAGCCUUGUUCAUUGUUCCAACACGAUUGGGAUUCCAAUUAUAAAGAAAACUUGAUAACCAAGUUAUAUUCAUAAUAAAAUUCCUUUUAGGACUUGGUCAAAUUUUAAUUCGUAAAGCUCAUCGUUGCUUUUGAUCAAUGACUGACGUGAGUUAAAGUUUGACCCAAUCAACUAUGCGACCUGUUAAUUCCAUUAUUACCAUAAUUAACUCCAAGUUUUUAUUUGAAGCUAUCAAAGGCACCUAAUCAGACAUAUAGAAUUCAAGCUUCCAAUAGUUUGGUCCUAAUAACUCCAAUCCAUAUUGUCCGGUCCAAUUACGAAUCUACACUUAUUCCGCCUAAGGCCCACAAUUGCACUCUCGAAUUAUAUAGAUUUGCAUAAGCAAUAUUAUCUCAAGUCUCCAUAGUUAUAUCCUUUUGACUUGCUAUCAAUAUGUUCGACGGACAUUUAAGAAUUGGUGCAGGAUCAAAAUGAACUUUUUCUCUUUUAAUUACUAUUUCACUUAAGCUAUCAUUUUCUUCAACGGUUUCUUUGCGAGCACAUCGUGGGAUUAUUCGGGUAUCUGCAAAUGGUGUGUUCAGAUUAAACAACCCACAAGAAAAUACUUAAGUUGGUUCAUUAGCAUAUUUGAAUAGGGGCGGUAUCAAAAAGUAAUAUCUGUUCAUUUGUUUUCAGCUCCAAAUUUAUUGAGAUGUUUGACCAUAGAUCUUACUCAUUGGCACAUCAAAUAUAAAAGUUCACAAAUAGCAAACACUACCUCUGUUUCGAAUUCUGUUAAUCUAUAAAAUAGUUAUUUACAGUUCAAUUUUUUGCACGAUCAUUCAAAAGACUUAAAAUCUAUCAAGAUGUCCUAUCUAAUGUUAUGAAUCCUGAUAUCGUCUCGCCACGAUCAAGACAAAUCGUGAAUUCCAAGUAGCCGAUCCUAUGACCUUACUAGACCAAAGUAUUAAUCUUUGCUCCUCCGUCUAGGAUAAUUAAUUCCCAAUCAGAAUACAAAUUGUGCAUGGCUAUACUUUUUAACACAAGUACCCUAUUUCUAUAUCAUCCAUCAAUGGAAGACACUCAGUUAAAUGUUCAAUAAAUGCAUCAAUUUGUUUAAGACACAAACAAAUAAUAAAUAAAUAUUUAACAUUCAGAAUUUUCGACUAUUACCGUAAAAUUCUAAUAUAUUUUGGGUACCUAUCCCAACAAUAAAUAUUCCAAGAUGUGGAAUUCGAGUAACAUAUGGGUUUAUGAUUCGUGGUUUUAACAGCAUUGAUGUGAAUGGGUUGGCUUUUCGUUGCAGGGCUAUUAAGAGAGAGAAGAAAGCAUAAAAAAUUCAACUCAAAAUCAAAUUCUGGAGUUCAUUAUUCGUCGUAUUAUGUGAAAGGAUCCAGGAUUAAUUAGUCCGGCCGGUGCCUUUUCGGCAUACACCGUAUAUCUUAGAGAGAUCGCAUUUCUUCGGGUUGGUAGUGAUGGAAUGCUUGCAAGUUCUUUUUUUAAAGAGGGUUUUGACAAUACAUGGAACCGAAAAAAACUAAAAAUGGAAGGUCAACAAAAAGUUUUUAUUUAUUUUUUAUUUUAUUAUUAUUAUUUUUUUUUAAAGGAGGAAAACAAAGGGAUGGUGAACCUUGCCUUUAAAUUUGCAUAUUUAUGUACAAUACAUUACAUUAAAAGACCAGUUCGAGUACGUUAUUGUUGAUGUUCUUGGGAAUUCUGAUGUUACAUAGAAGAAGAUUUUCUCAAGUCCUUGCCAACGAAAUUAAUAUUAGGAUCGACGUGUCUGUUCCUUUCGAUUGUUCCCAUGAUGGAAUCCUUUGGAAUCCUUUGAAGAGGCAAAGGCGACGAUCAAAUAAAAGAAAAAUCAAUGUGGUGAAGAAGUCUAUAAAAGCAUGGUAUACACGACAAGACAAAGAGCCAUAUUGUAGAUAAUAGACUUAUAACUUUUUAAUCUAAUAUGUAAAGGUAAUAUGCUUCAAUAGUUUGGCAAUAUAUUGUAAAAAGGCUCAAGUAUCGGCUUUAUACGCAAAAAAUUAUUAUUUUACCAAAAUAAUUGCAAAAUAUUUUUCAAGAUAACGGAUUCGAUCUUAUACAAUAAAAUGAUAAUUAUCUUGAAAAAUCAUAUAUAAAUUUCUCUCAAAGUAUUAUCUUUAUCAAAAGAUCGGAGAAAUUAAUUUCUGCCGUAGCGGACGUCCAGUAGAAAAAUGGUAAAAAUGUUUAACCGUUCUGACUUCUGAAAUAACAACAGCUAGUGAAACGUCCGGUAGGACAUUUUGGGUACAUAUCCCUACGUAAAUAUUCCAAGAUGUUGAAUUCGAGUAACAUAUGGGUUUAUGAUUCGGGGUUUUAACAGCAUUGAUGUGCAUGGGUUGGCUUUCCAUUGCAGGACUAUUAAAAGAGAGAAGAAAGCAUAAAAAUUCAACUCAAAAUCAAAUUUUGGAGUUCAUUAUUCGUCAUAUUAUGUGAGAGGAUCCAGGAUUAAUUAGUCGGGUACCUUUUAGGCAUAAACCAUAUAUCUUUGAGAGAUCGCAUUUCUUUGGGUUGGUAGUAAUGGAAUGCUUACAAGUUCUUUUUUUUAAAGAGGACUUUGACAAUACACGGAACCCAAAAAACUAAAAAUGGAAGGUCAAAAAACAAUUAUUUAUUUAUUUAUUUAUAUUUUUUUUUAAUGAGAAAAACAAAGAGAUGGUGAACCUUGCCUUUAAAUUUGCAUAUUUAUGUACAAUACAUUACCUUAAAAGACCAAUUCGAGUACGUUGUUGUGUUGAUGUUCUAGGGAAUUCUUACUGCACAUUAUAUAGAAGAAGAUUUUCUCAAGUCCUUACCGACGAAAUUAAUAUUAGGAUUGAUGUGUUUGUUCCUUUCGACUGUUCCCAUUAUUAGAUCCUUUGGUUCUGCAUUGUAUUUGGUUCUUUAUAUUAAGUUGUCUUGGGUUACCGUUCCUAUCAUCGUCCUUACAAUUAUUCAAAUAGUUAUUUUCUCCAUCUUGUAGUUUCCUCUCUUGAUUGAGAUGACAAAUCGGUCUUGCGGCUUUGGGAUAUUCAAUAAACCUAAGAAGAAAGUCUGCCAUUGCUAUGUUCCGCUCACGUUUGAUAUGGUGGAAUAGAUAGUAUUUGACGCUAUUGCAGAAGAAAAAGAAAUUAAAAUCUUAUCAAUCAUACUAUAAAGUACAAUUGAAUAAAACAUCCUAUUGUGCUCUUCUUUCAUUUUGGUUUCUGUCAUUUUAAAUGUUUAAGAUAUAUUCCUCUUGUUUUUUCAUAGAGAGCUGCUGGACUACCAAACCCCUUUCUCAUAGGGGUCUUACAGACCCUCACACAAAAGCAGGUGGUGUCGGUAUUUUUGCAAUUUUUUAUUACAAGUGGGUCUGACCUACGGCCCACAUCAUUGUGAGGAGCCUGUACAAGGCUUGUGAGCAUCAGCCUGGUAGAGCAGCAUUCUUCUUUUUCAUAUGAAUUCCAUUGAUUAACUCUGUUUCUCCAUUGUUGUGGCAUUUAAUUAGACGAUAUGUGCCUAUUCACCCAAGGAAUAGAGGUUUUCUUUGUAAUUGUUUGUACUUUUCUUUUUUUGUUUUUGUUAUUGUUGGAUUUUGAUAUCCAAUGAAUUCGAGUGAUGAUAUUAAAAUGAUAUACCUUAGCAUUGGCUCGAUCAGAAAACAACCUGGGUCAUUCGAAGCAACUUACUUAAUUAAGAUUGCUCGUGGCCCAAGACUUUAGUUGGCCCAUGUGAGUGUUAGCCCAAUUGGUGGUGACAUCAGAGUGAGCCCAUUUAGCAUUUGGAUGGUUGGCCCAUUUUGUGGUGAUUGAGACUUUGGUUGUUAGCCCAUUUACAUGUUUGGAGGAUAACCUAAUUGAAGGCAUUAUAUCCAUCCUAUGCAGCCGGGUGUUUUGUAGGUUAAUUCGGCGUAGUGGAGAGAAAACAUGAGGCAGCCGUCUGGAGGGGGAAAUUGGAGUUCAACCAUUACUUCUUCUAUUUUCUUCCUCCUUUGUUGGUGCAAGUUGUUCACCAUGUGAGGGUGGGUGUGUGCAAUAGAGGCAAGAGAAAUAGGUAGCAGUUAUGGGAGAUUUUGUGUUCAACCAUUGCUACCCUUUUCUUCUCCAUCCCUUUGUGAUAUUGCUACAACCACCAUUGUAUCUCCACCUCUAACUAAGCCUAAGUUGUUUCGGACAUAGAACUUUGGAGAUGCCAAUAAAAUUGUAAUAAAAGUACCAAAUUGCUCGUUAGCUUAUAAAACGAGGAUAGUAGGUGCAAUUUUCCUCUUUUAAAAGUUCAUGUUGCAUGUGUCAUUAAAUUAGUUGAUAGCGUGAACGUUAGAUAGAGCUAAGAGAUAUCUUCUAAGAAAUGAGGCAAUAACACCAUUUCACCAUUUGUGGUUCAUGUUGACCUCGAAAUGAGAUUAAUAAUUAUUAAGCAAUUUUGUUGUCAAACGAUCUCCCCGGGCGAUGAUGUAACCUCGGUUGUUUAUUAUCAAUCGGCCUCAGCCAAAUGACUGAUUAGUACAUCGACACAAUUAUCGAGACAACACAAUCCACUUUAUUAUGGACCGUUCGAAGCAACCUAUUUUUAUAGUGUUGCUCACGGUUCUCGCUCCAUUCCUUGGAAGGCUAUAUUAUUAUUGUUGAAGCCCACUUAAUUGAGUCGAGUCUCGUUUGUUGGUCCACCACUUAACCCUAACCUAACUUACCUAUCUGGACAUUUUACUUGGCAUAUAAUCCCUCUCUUGUCUCGGCCUCCAUAGAGUGCAAUUUUCCCUUUCUCUUUGUGAGUCUCUCUCUCGGCCUCUCCUUUCUCCCUCACUGUGACCUUAGUGGUUAACCUUUUUUGGGCACAUUAUUGUGUUUCUCCUUCUCCAAUUGGUAGAAACCGGAAUGGGGACGACAAGUGGUGGUGUUGGAGUUGUCUCAACGGUGUUAGUAUUGAUGUUGUGGUAAACUGAGCCCGAUUUUGCACGUGGUGGCGGUGGAAAUCAACCCUACAUCUGGUAUCAGAGCAGUAACAGCUUUUCCCAGCCUGAAAAUCAGCAAAAAUCGGCGACAGUCGCGGGUUUGGACGAAAAAAUCGUGGCUGCAACCCUCAUUUCCGGCCAAUCCAGUCACUUUCCGGCGAAACCGAUCCCAUAUUCCGGACCAGCAGGCUGAGGUGCCCCUUCGUAGUGGUGGCGGCGGCACAUGGCGGCAAUUCCGGGCGAACUUCCUUCGGGCAGUUUGCUCAUUUUAAUCCCCUGAACGCACUGACACUGUUUAUUUUUUGUUUCAGGUUAUACAGAAAAAGUUGGACAAUUUUGCCCCCGGUGGAUCGACGGUUGAAUCUGCAUAUAUCUACUGAAUUACUUUAGGCCAAGAUUGCGGCCCUAAAGCAGUAGAUUCGCAUCUCUCUCGAUUAUACGGACUCGGACACGUCCGCUCUGGUAAAUUAGCUUAACCCGUUAAUUUUUCAACAUUAGCGCGUCACCAUGUGGGGUGACAAUAGGUUGGGGGUUGUCAUUGCUUGGCAAUCAUUGCUUGUGCUAGAAUUAGGGUUACGUGCUCUUAAUUGAUCUUUUUUGAUUGAGUAUUUGUUUUUGGUUUAAAAUCAGUCUUGUAAUUCUUAGUGAUCAAAUUAUUAUGGGACUAGUUAUCUGCUAGACGUAUUUUUUGCUGCAUUGUUAUUUUCACUGAUUACUUAUUCCGUUAGAAAUAUCGUGACUUUACCCUUUCGAACAUUCCCUUGAUCUAAGACCGCGAGUCUUACGAAACCCUGGGAAUCUAGAACGGUGUAUAUUGUCUGUGACCCCUAGGACUACUUUGUGUGGUUUGAUUGUGGUUUGUGCAUUUUUGACUAUUGUGUGAAGAUGACAACUCACAGUUUUGAUUUGGGAAUUUUUAACGGAAAGGGUGACUUUGCUAUUUGGCAACAAAAAAUGAAGGGUAUUUUAGUCCAACAAAAGGUUUCAAAAGUCAUUGAAGACAAUUUUUCAACUGAUUUUUCACAAGAACAAAGAGAAGAAGCCGAUGAGAUUGCUUAUACCUCAAUUAUCUUACACUUGUCUGACGCUGUUUUAAGAAAGGUGGGUAAAUUAAAAAAUACUAAAGAAUUUUGGAAGAAAUUAGAAGACUUGUAUUUGCUUAAGUCUACAUCUAAUAAACUUUACCUGCUUGAUUGUUUUUUCAGUUUCAAAAUGGAUCCCUCAAAGGAUCUUGAUGACAAUCUAGAUGUGUUUAACAAAUUGGUGCAAGACAUAGUUAAUUGUGAUGAGACUGUGUCCGAAACUUAUAAGGCUAUAAUUUUGCUCAAUGCAAUCCCUGAUUCCUAUAAGGAAGUUAAGAACGCCAUUAAGUAUGGUAGAGACACGUUAACACCUGAAAUUGUCAUAGAUUCCCUUAGAAGUAAAGAAAUGAAAAUUAGGGCUGAAAAACAUGAUAAGAGGAAUGGUGAGGUACAUAUGAUGCGAGGUAGAACUCAAUUUAGGCAAAAUAGUCAUGAGGGAUAUCAAACUAGUGGCGACUCAAGUGGUAAUGGAUGGAAAAAAGAAGAGCAAAGGUAGGUCUAGAUCAAAAUCUAGGACUAAGGCGAGAAAAUGCUAUGGUUGUGGAAACACAGGGCAUUUUAUAAAAAAUUGUCAUAAGGAGAAGGGUAAGCUAAAAGCUACGGAGAGAGAUGAGGUAAAUGUGUUAGCAUCUACUUCCGAUAUAAAUGGUGGUGAGGUCUAUAUGAUUACAAGUCCAGCUGCAUACACUGCUGAAUUAAAUCUAACUGCUAAUUCCCGCAUCCAUGAGUGGAUACUUGAUUCUAAUGCAUCUUUUCAUGUGACGUCUGAAAAGAACUGAUUUUAUAAGUUGCAUGAAUCUAACGUUGGGCAUGUUGUGCUGUGUGAUAACUUUGCCUCUACUAUUGCUGGAAUUGGGGACAUAAACGUAAAAUUUGACAUGGGUUUUGUGUAUACGUUAAAAGAUGUUAGAUAUAUUCUUGAAUUGUCUAGGAAUUUGGUUUCAGUAGGGAGACUUGAGAAUGAUGAUUUUACUGGUAAAAUUGGAAAUGGUAUGCUAAAAAUGAUCAAGGGUGCUUUAGUUUCCAUUAAGGGAAUUAAGAAAAACGAUAUAUACAUUACUACUAGGGAAGUGAUUAGAGAUGUGAAUUCCUCUAUCUCCUCUGCCAAGAUUGAUCACACACACGGCACAAUAGACUUGCUCACGUAGGAGUCAAGGGACUUAAGCUACUUGAUGAAAAUGGUGCUUUUGGUAAUGACUGUGUUAGAUUUGCCAUUUUGUGAUCAUUGUGUGCUUGGUAAGCAUUACAAAACUUCUUUCUCCACGAGUGUUAAUAGAGCUAAAGGCAUGCUCAAAUAUGUGCACUCUGAUCUUUGGGGUCCUGCCAGUAACCCCACAUCGGGUGGUAAUAGGUAUUUCCUGUCUAUUAUUGAUGACUACACUAGGAAGGUGUGGGUCUAUCUUUUGAAGGAUAAAUCUGAGACCUUCAAUAGUUUUAAUAAUUGGAAGAGACAAGUGGAAAACCAAACUGGCAAGAAAAUCAAAUUUUUAAGGACAGAUAAUGGCCUAGAAUUCUGCAAUAAAGAAUUUGAUAGUAUAUGUAAAGAAAACGGCAUAACUAGACAUAAGACCGUUCCCUACACCCCUCAGCAAAAUGGGGUAGCAGAAAGGAUGAAUAGAACCAUACUUGAUAAAGUACGUUGCAUGAUGAUCAGUUCGGGUAUUCCCAAGUCAUUUUAGGGUGAGGCUGUUAUGACAGCUUGCUAUUUGAUUAAUCUUAUACCUUCUGCUGCAUUGAAUGGUGACACUCCACAUGAGAGAUGGUCGGGUAAACUGAGUGAUUACUCAAUACUUAGAACUUUUGGCUGUGCAGCUUUUUCUCAUCAAACUAAGGGUAAGCUGGAACCUAGAGCUAGGAAGUGUGUUUUCUUAGGAUACCCCGAGGGUGUUAAGGGUUAUAGGUUAUGGAAUAGAAGCCAAAAAGGAGUUAAAAUUAUCAUAAGUAGAGAUGUCACAUUUAACGAAAAUGAGAUGCUGUGUAUUAAAGGAAAAACUGAACCUAAGAGUGAAGUAGAAUCAGGUGAAGAGAGAGACCAGUUUAAGGUGGAGUUAGGAAAACUCAGUCCACCUACCCCUAUUGUUUCAAAUGAGGUGGAGACUCAAACUCAGGAACCCGAAGUGGAGAAUAGUAACGAAAUAGUGACAGAAGAACACUAUGAGGAAGAAAAUCCUUUAGCUAACUAUAACUUAGUUAGGGAUAGAGAGAGGAGACAAACGAGAGAAUCUAGAAGGUUUGGUUUUGAAUCUGAAUUAGCUUUUGCCCAGGCUAGUUAUGAAGAACUAGCUGAUAAAGAGCCAAAGACUUUUGAAAAAGCAAUAGGCAGUGAUCAAUCUAAUGAAUGGCUUAAGGCAAUGAAAGAAGAGAUGAGUUCUCUAUAAAAGAAUCAUACUUGGAAGCUAGUACCUAGACCUAAGAAUAAAUCAAUUGUUGAUUGCAAAUGGGUUUUUAAGGUUAAGGAAGGAACUAGUAGCUUGAAACCCCUAAGGUUUAAAACUAGGUUAGUGGCUAAAGGCUAUACCCAGAAGGAGGGCGUUGAAUAUAAUGAAAUUUUCUCACCAGUUGUUAAGUUCACCACUAUUAGGGUCAUGCUCACAUUAGUUGCACAAUUUGACUGGAAACUUGAACAACUUGACAUAAAAACUGCUUUCUUACAUGGUGAGCUUGAUAAACAAAUUUUCAUGAAUCAACCUAAAGGUUUUAAGGAUAAGUCAAAACCUGAUUAUGUGUAUUUUCUGAGAAGAUCCUUGUAUGGGUUAAAACAAUCUCCUAGACAGUGGUACAAGAGGUUUGAUUCCUUUGUACUCACUAUAGGGUUUCAAAGAAGUAAAUUUGAUCACUGCCUGUAUCUUUAACACAAUGAGACUGAUGAUAAUUAUCUGUUUUUGUUGCUCUAUGUGGACGACAUGCUUUUGAUUGGAUCAUCCUCUAAGUGGAUAAAUAACAUAAAAACAAAAAUAAGUGGUGAAUUUGACAUGAAAGACCUAGGUAAGGCUAAGAGAAUCUUAGGUAUUGAAAUUGAAAGAGAUAGGUCAAAUUCUGUUUUGUUUUUGCAUUAGUCUCCAUACAUAUCCAAAGUAUUGAAGAAAUUCAAUAUGAGUGAAUACAAACCUGUUACGUUGCCCCUUGCUAAUCAUUUUGUUUUAUCUAAGAAACAAUCUCCUUGCAAUGAGCGUGAAGCUGAAUACACGAGUAAAGUGCCUUACUCAAAUGUGAUUGGUUCCAUAAUGUAUUUGAUGGUUUGCACUAGACCUGAUUUAGGUUUUGCUAUUAGUACUCUUAGUAGAUAUAUGGCUAAUCCGGGACUUGAACAUUGGGAAGCGCUAAAGUGGUUGUUAAAGUACUUGAAUGGUACUAGUAAUGUAGGCUUAAAGUUUAGAGCAAAUAAUGAAGGUACAAAAUUAAAGGGUUUUGUAGAUGCUGACUAUGCGGGAGAUAGGGAUGGUAGGAAAUCUACUUCAUCUUAUGUGUUUACCUUAUCUAAUUCAUGUGUAAGUUGGAAAUCACAGUUACAACAUAUUGUUGCACUAUCCACUACAGAAUCAGAAUAUAUUGCUACCACUAAAGCUAUUAAAGAAGCUCUAUGGCUUAGAGGUCUACUUCAUGAACUGUGUGUUCUAAAUGACUAUGUGGUAGUGUAUUCUAAUAGUCAGUCAUCUAUACAUUUAUGCAAAAACCCUGUGUUUCACGAGCACACUAAACACAUUGAUGUUAGACUCCACUAUAUUAGAGAUAUAGUAUCUCAAGAGGUGGUAAGACUUGAGAAAGUCCAUACCCACUACAACCCAUCUGAUAUGGGGACGAAGGUACUGCCACUAGUAAAGUUUAGGAGUUGCAAAGAACUUCUAAACAUUGGUACAGGUAAAUGAUUUCCAAUUUUAUUUUUUUUCUAUUAGAGGUGUCACUAAUGGGAGACAAUUUUCUUUGCAGGUCCUUUGACACCAAGGUGGAGGUUGUUAGGCAAUUUUGUUGUCAAACGACCUCCCCGGGCGAUGAUGUUACCUCGGUUGUUUAUUAUCAAUCAGCCUUGACCAAAUGAUUGAUUACUACAUCGACAUAAUUAUUGAGAGAACACAUUCCACUUUAUUAUGGAAUGUUCGAAGCAACCUAUUUUUAUAGUGUUGCUCACGGUUCUCGCUCCAUCCCUUGGAAGGUUAUAUUAUUAUUGUUGAAGCCCACUUAAUUGAGUCGAGCCUAGUUUGUUGGUCCACCACUUAACCCUAACCUAACUUACCUAUUUGGACAUUUUACUUGGCAUAUAAUCCCUCUCUUGUCUCGGCCUCCAUAGAGUGCAAUUUUCCCUUUCUCUUUGUGAGUCUCUCUCUCGGCCUCUCCUUUCUCCCUCAAUGUGACCUUAGUGGUUAACCUUUUGUGGGCACAUUAUUGUGUUUCUCUUCUCCAAUUGGUAGCAACUGGAGUGGGGGCGGCAAGUGGUGGUGUUGGAGUUGUCUCAACGGUGUUAGUGUCGAUGUUGUGGUAAACUGAGCCCGGUUUUGCACGUGGCGGCGGUGGAAAUCAACCCUACAAUAAUUUUUUUUCACUAUCUAGAAUUUUCUCCUUCUGGUUUUAUGAUCAAGCGAGAGCAAGAAAUGAAAAUGAGAUUAAUAAUUUUUUCUCACCUAUCUAGAAUUUUCUCCUCCUGGUUUUAUGAUCAAGCAAGAGCAAGAAAAGAAAAUGCUAUUUAAAAGGAGAAUAUUUUGAUAUUGCAUUCCUUUCUUUGUCGCCAAUUAUGUUAUUUAUAGAUUUCUAAUGAGGUCUUAGAGUUAAUUAAGUCACUUUCACUAAUGACGUGGCAAUCAUUCAUUAGUUGACUUCUAACUAAAUUUGCUAGCUUUUCACAUUUUAUUCACGAGUCUGUAUAUUUCUCAUUCAUUGGCUCUGAAACCAUACUUUAUAUUUUUACUCAUGUGUUUUGGUAAUGGUUAUUGUCGUGGAAUAUAUAAUGAAACUAGUUAAAGAAUAUUUGCUCACUUAUGUUAUCUUGAGUUUGCAUGUGAUUUGGUUUGCCUUGAAAACGUUUGCAGGUAGAAAUAUAGGUUCUCCGCUAAUCCUUUGUAAAUUUUAAUUACAACAAAUAUCUUCAAAGUUAGAAUCUAAUGAUUUAUAUUAAGUUUUAGACUUUAUUUAAUUUCUACGACAAAUAUUUAAUUAUUUUAGAAUUUAUUUUGAUAUUAUGAGCCUUUAAAAAUUAUUGUGACAAACAAGCCUACAACAUGGCUUGUUUUGUGAGGUUUAAUUGAUUCCGAGUGAAAUAAGGUCAAAUGAUUAACAAAUGAUCCUCGAAGUUCAAGCUUAGGUAUUUUUGUUAAGUGCUAAGCUUGUGAACUUAAGGCAGGGAUUUUAAUACUAAAAAUACCUAAGGAUAUCCCACUCACCAAUGGCAGUUGAUGUAUGGCAUGAUGAAGGGAUGUGUAAUGAUUACUACAGUUCUUUACAAAUAUCAAUGGGGAUGUUGCAUACUUCAAGGUACGUAGGCUGUUAGGGGUGAACACGGUUCGAUUUGGACGGUUUGAAAAGUUUCAAACCAAAUCAUUUAAAGCGGUUUGGAAUUUCCAAACCAAACCAAACCACUUCAAUUUCUAAACCAAAUCAAUCCAAACCAUUUUUUUUUUGGUUCGGUUCGAUUUAAAACCACAGUUUAACAAUGAAAAAAUUUAUAUCAAAUAAGUUAAAUCGUAAAUAUUAGUCUAAAAUUUCACAUUAAAACAUAAGUUGUAUUAUUAAAAAAAUUACAAAUCAAAAUGAUAUAAUUAUAAUCAUUAUAAUGCAACAACAUGAUAUAAAUAUUUUAAACUCUUAAUCAAUACUAAUGGCAUCCAUUUACAAUUGUAAUACACAAUUCAUUCUUUUCAUAAAUAUAAAAAAUAUAGCAUAUGAAUUCAUUGAUUAUAAUUAAAUGAUAUAAAAUAACUAAUACAAGAAAAUGAAUAAAAAAUAAAAUACAAUAAGACCUAGUUACUGUGACUUUUUGUGAAUCAUUCAAUGCUUCUACUCCAUCCAAAUAUUAGGAAUUACUUUAAGGAAGCCCGAUAAUUAUUAGAACAAAACAACAUAACUACCAAUAAAAACAUAGAAAAAGAUUACCAAAAAAAAAAUUAGGAUAAUCUGACUUGAAUUUAGGCAAAAUUUAAGAAAAUUAUUAGUAGAAGGAAAUGAAAUGUGCAAGUUUGAAUUAAAAUCUAGAUUUAAUUGUCGGUUCAAUUAUAAUGGAGAAUCCAUAAAUAGGGUUUAGUAGCAAUUGUUCAACACUUCACCCAAUUUAAUGAUUUUAUACUCAUAACUGCCGACUAAUGUGCAUAUGGAUAUAAUUUAAUUAAUUAAUUAAGAUGUAAAAUUGUCGAAUUGAGUUCAAUUGAAUUAUGACUAAUAUAGAUAUAUCUUUUUAACUGAAAUGUGUUAAAUUUUAAUUGUUUUAAAUAAAAUUUAAACUAAUUUAUUUUCAGAUUUUUUUGAUAAUCAAUUUUGUGGUUUGAAACGAUUUGCAAAUAUUGAAACCUAAACCAAACCACUUAAAAAUGGUUUGGUUUGGUUCAAAACCUAAACGUUGAUGGAUUCACGUGGAACUAAACCAACAAUUUCAAAAAAAAAAAUGAUUUUGGUUCGAUUUUGCAGUUUUAUUGUCCAACCCUAGGCUGUACUCAUUUAAUUCACGUGUUACUGAAACAUGAUUAGAUUUGUCCCUUUGAAUUAUUUCUAGGCACCUUUUUUUUUUAAUCCAAUGGCUUGUUCCCUCGAAGAUUAAGAUCAAACUUGACAUGAUCCAAUGCUAUUAUCUUUCAUCAGAAAAUAUAAAUAUAACACCUCUAUUAUUUGUUACGAGUACUUAUUCUUUAAAAACUUCUAUUUUCUUUUUUUCAUUCGUUGCUAUCACGUUGCAGAUGAUAUGGUGAUUCUGGUGAUUAUUAUUUGCUCCUUAAAAAUCCUUCGAAUCCUUUUUACGUACAUAUUUUGUGCUUUUGCUUCUUCUCGUAUACUAUUUUUCCUCUAUUCGUCAUUUAGUGUAACCCGGUAAACUUUUAUCUAAAAUUUUUUAGGAAAUUGAUUCUGUAGAAUGUCUUUCCAAAAUAGAUCCUAAGUGUCAAAGCUACUUGCUCUAUAUUUAGGGAUGAUGGAGUAGACUGGCAGGGCCGGACCUGAGGCGAAAUUCAGAUUUUGGGCCCAUAAAUCAUAGCAAGCAAUUAAUUUUUUCAUUUAUAAGAGAUUUAAGGAACUAAAUUUGUCAACAUAAAAUCAAAAAAAUGAAAUAUUUAAAAUAUGUAUAUUAUAAUCAAAUAACAAUAUGAAAAUGUUCUAAAAGAUCACUUAAAUACAACUCGUCUUGCAGUUUUCGAGGCAAAAAUAUCGAUCAAUUUUGUAUAGUCGAGUUGUUCAACCAUUUCUUUUUCAGUUGAUAACAUGGCUAAACCAUUCAAUCUUUGCUGUGACAUAGUUGAUCGGAUAUAAGUCUUGAUCAAUUUCAACUUGGAAAAACUUCAUUAUUUAUACAGAGUGACGCCGAAAGAUGAGCUAAGUCCUGAAAAGAGUGAAAAUGCAGUCACACUACCUUAUUCAUGCUGAAAUUUAUGGUAUGUGGACGUAUAAUUUGUGGAGUCUAAUCAUAUUGUGUAAAAUCUAUCAAUUACAGAUAAAUAUAAUGUUCAUGCACAUGUAGAAUAAUUUGUAGGUAGUAAUUUUGCUUCACGUUAGUGAAGACUCAAUUCUCACACUAAGCGUGAAGCGCUGGAAAUCUCUGUUUGGAUACAAUUUAUAAUAUGGUUAAUAAAUUUGCUAAAGUCAAAUAUUAUUUUCAAACACACAUUUAUAAUUAUCAAUAAAUUUAGUGGAUCCCGCUAGUAUUCCUCUUUACAAAUUGAUUUAUAAAUUUGUCAAACGGAGGCUAUAUAUUUUCUGAUUUUAUUUUAGUAAAAGUUGGAGUCGCAAUUGAGAUUAGGGUUUAAUCCCCAUGACAUGGAUACCUAAUUCCGACUGUUUUGCUUACUGCAGAUGUUGCUUCUAUGCUAUUGAAAAGUAUCCAAAGUCGUGUGUUACCCCAGAUCAUGUUGGCAAUUUUGCUCUCUGAAUAUUGGUUCAGAAACCUUCUGCAUUUCCUAGUGGGACUAAACUGGCAUUUUGGGAAAGUACAUAAAUGCUCUCAUAUUCAUUUCAUUCACAAACAAUAUACCAUGACAACACAUCUAGAUAAAUUUUAGUUUCUUUUUCAUGCUGUCUAGUACAACAUUACAAACUUGCUAUAAAUGUACAUGUUGAACGCGAUCAUUUCGAAAAGUAUUCCCCGUCGUACUUUUUACACAUGGUGUAAGAGUACAUUCACCUUGGGAAAGUCAUGACAAAGAGCACGUAGAAAUGCAAAUCUCAAGUAUUAUUGUUUGUAAAUCAAGCGAUGAAGAUAUAACGGAAACGAUGGAACAUGGAUGCCUAACUAUAACUAAUCGAGGUAUAUCUAAUUGCACCACAUUCCUCCCCUUCUUGUUCAGGUCUUAUUUACACACUCUAAAUUUUAUUUAGUGGUAUAAUCUUCCUACAUAUAUAAUUUCCGUUACACACUUUAAUUAUAUAUAAUUUCUAUUUUGCUAAGUUUAGAGCGUGUUUGAUAUGGUGGAAUAAAUAGCAUUUGACACUUGAGGAAGAAAAAAAAAUCUUAUCAGUCAUACUUAGCAGUAAUAUUGAAUAUGGUGUCCCAAAUGUGCUCUUAGUUCAGUUUUGUAUCUAUCAUUUUAAAUGUUGAAGUGUCCAUUGUGUUUUUUUUCCAUAUAAAUUCAACUGGGUGAAAUGUUUUCCUUUUAGCCACAUGUCAUUGAGGAAUUCUAUUUGAUCGAGGUAUAUCUAAUUGCACCAUAUUCCUCCCCUUCUUGUUCAGGUCUUAUUUACACACUCUAAAUUUCAUUUAGUGGUAUAAAUUAGGCCAUGACGACUCCUGGACCAUCCCUCGCUCGGCUCAGCCAGUCCAACCUGGACCUAAGUCUCUUUUUAAAUACACAUGGGCCCAUGGACCUUCAAAGUUGAGCCAAGCCAACUGUAGAUGUGGGCUGAUCAUGCCAUGGCCUGUGAUGGGACUGGCUGUACUUUCAUGCAUUAGUUGGCUCUAAGCUUUGAUAACCCAGUUUGACACCUCUAAGGAAAUCCUUGGUAUGUAUAAUCUUCCUACAUAUAUAAUUUCCGCUACACACUUUAAUUAUAUAUAAUUUCUGUUUUGCUAAGUUUAGAGCGUGUUUGAUAUGGUGGAAUAAAUAGCAUUUGACACUUGAGGAAGAAAAAAAAAAUCUUAUCAGUCAUACUUAGCAGUAAUAUUGAAUAUGGUGUCCCAAAUGUGCUCUUAGUUCAGUUUUGUAUCUAUCAUUUUAAAUGUUGACGUGUCCAUUGUGUUUUUUUUCCAUAUAAAUUCAACUGGGUGAAAUGUUUUCCUUUUAGCCACAUGUCAUUGAGGAAUUCUAUUUCUCCAGUAUUGUAUUAGACCAUAUGUGCCUGUUUUGUUGGAACAAAUCAAAAUUGACCCUCACAUUUUCUAGAAUAAUUCCAUUAUUUGAGGAAUAAUCUUGAAUUUUUAGUAUGUAUAAAUAGAACCACAUGAUGUAAUAUUUUGUAACGCAAAAUAAGAAGUGAAUUUCAGUUUAUAUAUCUCCAUAUUAUCUUGCAUUCAAACUGAUGUUAAAGCUUUGAAAAAAGAAAAAAAAACAUAUAAACAUUUAAUGAAAAAAAAUUAUAUACACCAAACACAACCUGUCCAAUAAUUUGGUUUCCCCUUUGCCUCAUUUAAUGGAAAAAAUUUGAUAAUUACUUCAUGCAUCAACCAUAUAGACAUUUAUUUAUCCAUAAAUAAAUCAAUUAUAAAUGCAUAGAACAACCCUCAAAAUCACUCAACUAUAAAAUCAAGCAAUAAAUCAAGAAUUAGAAUUACAGAAAAUAAACAAUUCUAGACCUACACUCUAGUACCUCUAAUUAGAACCGGUCCACUAGGGUUAGGAAACACAAAAAAUAAAAAUAAUAAAAUAAUAAUAAUAAUAAUAAAAUAAUUAAAAAAAUCUAUUUAUUGCAUUUCUAAUUAAUCGCCACAGAAGUGUCUAGAAGUUACGACUAUUUCAAGCAAUUAAUUUGUUUAUCUUCUUGCUUGACGUUGAUUGAUUCGCGAACUUCCAAAUUAGAUCUCAUCCAAUAAUUGUUCUUUCCUUGAUCUACAAGCUUCAUACCCUCUUAGGUAAUGGAAAUUGUAUUUUAUUCAAAUUAUAAUUGAAACUUGUUAUAUUCAUAACAAAAUUUUAACUCGUCAAUAAAAAGAUUGUGUGAAAUUUCUUCUUUCAAUUAGACUCACUAGGCCAACUAUCCCCCAAUAAAAAGAUCCAGAUUUUGCUGCUUAACACUUGGGCCACCACGACUAGGCCCAAUUAAAGUAGGCCAACUAUUAUCUUGUGAAACUUAAGCUAAAUGGCUACUGUAGACUAUGGUAGACCGUGGGCCGUAUAAGCAUCUAACCCAUUUAAAGAUGACCCACUUAUGUAAUUUGCUCUAAAUAAAAUGUUUCCUAUGUAUGAAAAAAACAUUUUAUUUGAGUAAAUUACACAAACUCUCUAGGCUGCUCUGUUGUAUAAAUUUUCCUAUUUUACUAGAACACCUCACAAAAUAUAAUAAAAAGUGUAGCAUAAUCCGUUAUAUUUUGAAUAUUAUUUGUUUAUUUAAAAGAUGAGAGAUUUUACCCAUCAGAAAAACAAUAUCCCAAAGUUAGGAUAAAUGUUUUCCUCCUAAAUUGGUAUUUUAUUUUUAUUUCAGUAAAUAAAUACUUUUACUUUGUCAUGGCUAAUUUAACUAAAGGACAAAAAAUGGAAAAACUGAAAACAUUUCAAUUAGGAACUAAUUUUUUUUCUUUUUCCUUUUUUGGGUAAAUUUUGUUUGUCUGCACAAUGUAAAGCACAUUGUUAGCCAUACAAGAAGUUGAGAAUAAUUUCUUUGAAAUACUCCAGUUCUGUGAACAGCAAAGAAGAUUAAAAAAAGGAAAGAAGACAAAAAGUAAAACUAAAUAAAUAAAUAAAAAAUGUACCUUACUUAAGCAUAGAGUAAUUCUAUAUUAUGCAUCUAUAAAGACUGAAUGCCCUUCUUGAUGAUCAUAGCAUACUUAAAAGUGUUAUCCCAGUGAGAGAAGAUGACAUAAUUAGAGUCAAGUAAGAUGAUUUUAAUUUACUUUGCUUGAUUUGUUGUGUUUAUAGUUUUUUUUUUCUCAAGUUUCCUUUUUUUAAUGAGCUCUAUUAUUGAAUUGCCAGUUCAAUUAACAUUAUCGAUAUUGUGCUUUGAAUAAACUCGUGAAGUAAUCAAGAAUAUAUUACUUUUUGAGGUCCCUUUACAAUGCCGAGCAAUUCAACUUUCUUGAACAAUUUGAAAGCACUGUUUGUCACCCAACAUACAACACUGUUUCAUUUAGUCAUCAAUUCUUUUAAAGUUUAUCACUAAACUUUCAUUUUGAUUGGCGAACAGAUAGAUGACAUAAUCUAGCGGGUCUAGAAUUGUGCCGGAGAAGCUAACUGAGGGUAACUUUAUAAGAAGUUGAGAAUAAUUUCUUUAGGAAUACACUAGUUCUGUGGACAACUGUGAAGCACAUUGUUGGCCCCCCAAGAAGUUGAGAAUAAUUUCUUUUGGAAUACACCAGUUCUGUGGACAGCAAAGAUGAAUAAUACACCAUUCUGUGGACAACAUUGAGUGAAGCACAUUGUUGGCCCUCCAAGAAGUUAAGAAUAAUUUCUUUCGAAUACACCAGUUAUGUGGACAACAAAGAAGAAUAAUACACCAGUUCUGUGGAUAACAAUGUGAAGCACAUUGUUGGCCCUCCAAAAAGUUAAGAAUAAUUUCUUUGGAAUACACCAGUUCCUCCAAGAAGUUGAGAGUAAUUUCUUUUGGAAUACACCGAUUCUGUGGACAGCAGAUAAAUAAAAAAUGUACCUUACUUAAGCAUAGAGUGAAUUACAUCUAUAAAGACUGAUUGCCCUUCUUGAUGAUCAUAGCAUACUUACAAGUGUUAUCGCAGUGAGAGAAGAUAACAAAAUUAAAGUCAAGUAAGAUGAUUUUAAUUUACUUUGCAUGAUUUGGUUGAGCUCUAUUAUUAAAUUUCUAGUUCCAUUAACAUUCUCAAUAUUGUGCUUUGAAUAAACUCGUGAAGUAAUCAAGAAUAUAUUACUUUAUGUGGUCUCUUUACAAUGCUGGGCACUUCAACUUUCUUGAACAAUUUGAAAGCACUGUUUGUUACCCAACUUACAGCACUGUUUCACCUAGUCAUCAAUUCUUUUUAAAGUUUAUCACUGAACUUUCAUUUUAAUUGGCGAACAGAUAGAAGUCAUAAUCUAGCGGGUCUGGAAUUGUGCCGAAGAAGCUAAUUGAGGAUAACUUUAUAAGAAAUUGAGAAUAAUUUCUUUUGGAAUACAUCAGUUUUGUGGACAAUAAUGUGAAGCACAUUGUUGGCCCUUCAAGAAGUCGAGAAUAAUUUCUUUUGGAAUACACUAGUUCUGUGGACAGUAAAGAAGAAUAAUACACCAAUUCUGUGGACAACAUUGAGUGUAGCACAUUGUUGUCCCUCCAAGAAGCUAAGAAUAAUUUCUUUCGAAUACACCAAUUAUGUAGACAGCAAAAAAGAAUAAUACACCAGUUCUGUGGACAACUAUGUGAAGCACAUUGUUGGCCGUCCAAGAAGUUAAGAAUAAUUUUUUUGGAAUACACCAGUUCUGUGGACAACAAUGUGAAGCACAUUGUUGGCCCUCCAAGAGGUUGAAAGUAAUUUCUUUUGGAAUACACCAAUUCUGUGUUGAGUCUCAAAGGUGAUGCAAGAUUGAGAUUUAAUGACAAUAAUGAAAUAUUCAAGAUCGUACCAUGAAAACAAGAUUAAAGUAAAGUACAAAAAAGAAACUAAGCAGAGGAACGAUGAAUUUUAUUUUAUCCGACAAUAUGGAGAGAAUAAUACAAGACAGUAAUAAUGCUUCAUCUUAAACUGACAAAGGAGUCUCUAAUUUAUAGGCCACGUCCAUAAACCUAAUGGAAUCCUAAAAGGUAAGAAAAUAUACUAGAAUCAGGUUAAACCGCGUAAAAGGAAAAAAUCUUGGAUGUAAUUUGAUUUCUUUCCAAAUUCAAGCCAAACGUGAUCUUCCAAAAUUUCAACCUAAUUUUGAGGCAUUAAACCUAACAUUCUGUGGACAACAAAGAAGAAUAAAGAAAAGGAAAGAAGAUAAAAAGUAAAAGUAAAUAAAUAAAAAAUGUACCUUACUUAAGCAUAGAGUGAAUUACAUCUAUAAAGAGUAAGCCCUUCUUGAUGAUCAUAGCAUACUUACAAGUGUUAUCCCAGAGAGAGAAGAUGACAAAAUUAAAGUCAAGUAAGAUGAUUUUAAUUUACUUUGCAUGAUUUGGUGUGUUUAUAGUUUUUUUUUCUCAAUUUUCCUUUUCAUCUCAAGCUCCAUUAUUGAAUAUCUAGUUCAAUUAACAUUUUUGAUAUUGUGCUUCGAAUAAACUCGUAAAGUAAUCAAGAAUAUAUUACUUUUUGUGGUCCCUUUACAAUGCCAGACACUUCAACUUUAUCGAACAAUUUGAAAGCAUAGUUUGUCACCUAACUUACAGCACUGUUUCAUUUAGUCAUCAAUUCUUUUUUAAGUUUAUCACUGAACUUUCAUUUUGAUUGGCGUACAGAUCAAAGGCAUAAUCUAGCGGGUCUGGGAAUUGUGCCAGAGAAGCUAACUGAGGAUAACUUUAUAAGCUGGAAAAAUUGCUUGCCAAAUUAUUUGGUUGGGAAUGGGCUUUGGGGUGUUGUCUCUGCUCAGGAGAUUGAACCAGAUAAGACAAAUAUACAAGAGCAUGAAAAAUGGAAGAAAAAGAAUGCUUUGGCUUUGCAUGCAAUUCAACUUUCAUGUGGACAAGCAAUAUAUUCGAAGUUUAUAAAUGCCGACAUUAAUGCUGACUACGUAUGGACUCAGUUGGUAGAAAAAGGAGAUCACGACAAAGAAAGUCGAGUCGACGAUAAUGGUAAUUCCUCAAUCUUUGUGAUGAACUAGGUCAUCUAAAAUUUUAUCGUGUUAUAAGAAAUGUGAAAUUGCACUAUAGGUUCUCAAUCAUUAAAAAUGAGCAAAGAACAAUGUGGUGGAGCCAAUCUUCCCUCUUAUUUAGUAAACUCUGUAGUUUACACAACUCCCUCACAUUCAGGCUGACUUCAUUGUUUGUAGGGUUGAGUGAGUACCUUGAAUACGAGCCCCUAUACAAGGCAAUUAAAAAAGGUAAUUGGCAUGCUAUAGAAGGUUUCUUUCAGGAGAAGACACUGCCAUUUACUGAAAGUAUUUCAUCACACAAAGAGACAGCUCUGCACAUGGCAACUUUAUCUAGACAGACUGAAAUUGCGAAAAAACUUAUAAAUUUGAUGGGCCCAAAAGAGUUAGAACUGAAAAAUGAACAUGGAGCUACGGCCUUAUCUUUUGCUGCAAUCUGUGGUGCAACAGAACUGGCCGAGGAUAUGGUAAGCAGGAACAAAGAAUUAGUUACAAUAGAAACUACAGGCCAAGAAUAUGGGCAACUGCCUGUGAUUGUGGCUGCAUUGUAUAGACAGAAGGACAUGGUUCAUUAUUUAUACAAUAAGACGCCAAAAGAUGUGUUGAGUCCCGAAAAGGGUGCAAAUGGAGUCACACUACUUAGUUACCUUAUUACUGCUGAAAUUUAUGGUAAGUGAAUGCAUAAUGUGGAGUCUAAUCAUGCUCUAUGAGGAUAAAGCCCCUUGUACGAUGGAUAUUGACAUGGAAUUGUGCCAGGAGUGAGAUGGCAUAAUGAUUGGCAAUGUUAAAAUUAUUUUUUGUCUAACUGCCAAUCACAAUUUGCCUAGUGUGAAUUUAAAAUUCCACGGCAGCGUAGCAUGAUCGGCUCUUUGUUAAUUUCGUCAAUUGCAGAUAAACGUAAUAGUAAUGCGUAUACAAGGAUUUUCAAUUUUAUUGGUGGUAAUUUUGUUUCACAACGUGCUUCUCCAAUUGAGCGUGAAACACUAAAAAUUUUUGUUUGGAUACAACUUAUAAUAUGCUUAAUAAACCUAGUUAAAGUCAAGCAUUAAUUUGAAUCACACAUUCAUAAUUCCUAUUCAUUAGUAUAAAAAAUUUAGUGGGUCCCAGUACUAUUCCUCUUUAUAAAUUGAUUUAUAAAUUUGUCAAAUGGAGGCUAUAUGUUUUCUAAUUUUGUUUUAGUAAAAGUUGCAAUCGCAAUUGAGAUUUGGGCUUAAUUCUCUAGACACGUAUACCUAAUUCUUGCUAUUUUCUUACUGU
rnacentral:lncRNA from 1 species